rnacentral:rRNA from 1 species
ACUCCUACGGGAGGCAGGCAGUGGGGAAUUUUGGACAAUGGGCGCAAGCCUGACGCAGCAACGCCGCGUGGGGGAUGAAGGCUCUCGGGUUGUAAACCCCUUUCAGCAGGGACGAAAUUGACGGUACCUGCAGAAGAAGCCCCGGCUAACUACGUGCCAGCAGCCGCGGUAAU